rnacentral:rRNA from 1 species
GACGAACGCUGGCGGCGUGCUUAACACAUGCCAGUCGAACGGAAAGGCCCUGCUUUUGUGGGGUGCUCGAGUGGCGAACGGGUGAGUAACACGUGAGUAACCUGCCCUUGACUUUGGGAUAACUUCAGGAAACUGGGGCUAAUACCGGAUAGGAGCUCCUGCUGCAUGGUGGGGGUUGGAAAGUUUCGGCGGUUGGGGAUGGACUCGCGGCUUAUCAGCUUGUUGGUGGGGUAGUGGCUUACCAAGGCUUUGACGGGUAGCCGGCCUGAGAGGGUGACCGGCCACAUUGGGACUGAGAUACGGCGCAGACUCCUACGGGAGGCAGCAGUGGGGAAUAUUGCACAAUGGGCGGAAGCCUGAUGCAGCAACGCCGCGUGCGGGAUGACGGCCUGCGGGUUGUAAACCGCUUUCGCCUGUGACGAAGCGUGAGUGACGGUAAUGGGUAAAGAAGCACCGGCUAACUACGUG